AGCAGUGUGGCAUAGUGGAUAGAGCACUGGCCUGGGAGUCGAAAGGACCUGGGUUUUAAUCCCGGCUCUGCCA
rnacentral:tRNA from 1 species